GUCCCUGUUGAUAAGAAUUUAGGGUCUGGCCUGCCCAAUGAUAGGUUUAAUGGCCGCAGUAUUUUGACUGUGCAAAGGUAGCAUAAUCAUUAGUUUUUUAAUUGAAAGCUGGAAUGAAAGGUUUGAUGAGAAAAGGGCUGUCUCUUAUUUAUAAUUAGAAGUUUAUUUUUAAGUUAAAAAGCUUAAAUAUUAAAGAAAGACGAGAAGACCCUAUAGAUUUUUAUUUGUUGGAUUAAAUUAUUAUUUUGAGGAUUCUUUAUCUGUAAUUUAAAGUCAAAUUUUGUUGGGGUGAUGGGAAAAUUUAAUUAACUUUUCUUUAUUGAUACAUUAAUUUAUGAGUUUUUGAUCCUCUAAUUGAGAUUAAAAGAUUAAAUUACCUUAGGGAUAACAGCGUAAUUUUUCUAGAGAGUUCAAAUUGAAAGAAAAGAUUGCGACCUCGAUGUUGGAUUAAAGUUAAUUUUGGGUGUAGAAGCUUAAUAUAUUAGGUCUGUUCGACCUUUAAAACUUUACAUGAUCUGAGUUUAGACCGGCGUGAGCCAGGUUGGUUUCUAUCUUCUUUAUAUUAGAUAGUUUAGUACGAAAGGACCAAUUAUCAUGUUAAUAAUGAUUUUGUUGAAUAAUAAUAACUU
rnacentral:rRNA from 1 species